rnacentral:ncRNA from 1 species
ACAAAGGCAAACCUGUGGAAACGCAGGGACGCAAAGCUAAGGGUCUAAGGUAUUUUAAUCGGAAUACUAUGAUAGCCGGUUGCCAC